CCUACGGGGGGCAGCAGUGGGGAAUAUUGCACAAUGGGGGAAACCCUGAUGCAGCGACGCCGCGUGAAGGAAGAAGUAUCUCGGUAUGUAAACUUCUAUCAGCAGGGAAGAAAACAGACGGUACCUGACUAAGAAGCCCCGGCUAACUACGUGCCAGCAGCCGCGGUAAUACGUAGGGGGCAAGCGUUAUCCGGAUUUACUGGGUGUAAAGGGGGCGCAGACGGCCAUGGCAAGCCCGGUGUGAAAGGCAGGGGCAUAACCCCUGGACUGCACUGGGAACUGUCAGGCUGGAGUGCCGGAGGGGG
rnacentral:rRNA from 1 species